rnacentral:rRNA from 1 species
AUGGAAACCAAGUUUCUGCUAGAGUGGAAGAAAGAUCUUUAUGAUCCGAAUACUUGCCGGAAGGAAGCCUUGACACAUAUCUUACUAGAUGAAUCGUGUGCGCUUGAUUGGAACAUAUGUUACAACAUAAUUAAGGGAUUAUGUGAGGGUUUACAUUACCUUCAUGAAGGAUUAGAGUAUCCUUUUUACCAUCUGGAAUUAAAACCUACAAAAAUUUUGCUGGAUAAGGACAUGAUGCCCAAAAUUGGGGGUUUUGGUUUCUCUAGACAUUCAACAGAAACCUUCAACACAUCAGAAGUCAUGGGAACAAGUGUAUACAUGCCACCAGAAUACAUCAGUAAACGACAAAUUACACCAAAGUUUGAUGUAUUCAGUCUGGGCAUUAUAAUCUUGCAAAUAAUGGCAGGAAAGCAGAGCUACAUCAAAUGUGCAGAUAUUCCUCCUGAAGAAUUUAUUGAGCUUGAAUAUGAAUUAUGGGUAAAUAGGCUGCAGGCCACAAUAUCGAAGCGUACUUCACGUGAAGUUAGGACAUGCAUCGGAAUAGCUCUAAAAUGCGUGGAGUUCAAUCUGAUGAAGAGGCCUACUAUAAAUGAGAUCAUACAAGAACUGAAUAAGAUUGAUAUUGUUGAGUGGUCAUUCGAGUUCUUAGAACGCAUUACAAAUGGUUUUUCUGAGCAGAACAUAGUUGGCCGUGGCGGAUAUGGAGUUAUUUACAAGGGGGUGUUGGAGAAUGGAGAAGAGAUUGCUGUUAAGAAACUUCAUCCAGUGUUGUGGAUUGAUGAUGAGCAGUUUAAGAAUGAGCUUAAUAUUCUAAUGAGGAUCAAACACAAAAAUAUCGUACAGUUAGUUGGCUACUGCCACCAUACAUCACAGAUAGUUGCCGAGUAUAAAGGAGAACAUGUUUCUGCUAGUGUGGUAGAAAGAGCGAUUUGUUUGGAAUACAUGCAGGGUGGGAGCCUUGCCGAUCAACUUUCUGCUGAACCUUGCACACUUGAUUGGGACAAAUGCUACAAAAUAAUAAAAGAAAUUUGUGAGGGUUUACAUAACCUUCAUAAUGCUGAUGCUCCCAGUUACCAUCUGGACUUAAAACCUGCCAAUAUUUUGUUGGAUAAGGAUAUGGUAGCAAAACUUGGUGAUUUUGGUUUGUCAAGAUUAUUUGAUUCGAUGCAAACCUAUAUCACAGAAUCCCAAGAUAUGAAAGGAACACGUGGAUAUAUGCCACCAGAAUACAUCAAUAGACAACAAAUCAGUCCGAAGUUUGACGUUUUCAGUCUCGGGGUCAUAAUCAUACAAAUAAUGGCAGGAAAGGAUGGCUACUUCAACUGUGCAGACACACCUCCGAAAGAAUAUAUUAAGCAUGUAUGUGAAAACUGGCGAAUGAGGCUGCAAGCAACAAUGUCGUCCCAUGUAUCUGAAGAAGUGAGGACAUGCAUCGAAAUAGCAUUAAAAUGUGUGGAGGACGACCGAACCAGAAGGCCUACUAUAGCCCAGAUUGUCAAUGAACUAAGUAACAUUUGUAUUGCUAAAAGUAAACCGAUAUGUCAGUGGGCAAACAAGCUGACUGCGUUGAAGACCUUUCUCACUUCAAGCAUUGGCUGUUCCUCUUAG